UCCCCUAUGGUGUAAUGGCAACACUCCGCUCUUUGGAUGCGGCAUUCUAGGUUCGAGUCCUGGUGGGGGAGCAA
rnacentral:tRNA from 1 species